UGGGGAAUAUUGGACAAUGGGCGAAAGCCUGAUCCAGCCAUGCCGCGUGUGUGAAGAAGGUCUUCGGAUUGUAAAGCACUUUAAGUUGGGAGGAAGGGCAGUAAGUUAAUACCUUGCUGUUUUGACGUUACCAACAGAAUAAGCACCGGCUAACUUCGUGCCAGCAGCCGCGGUAAUACGAAGGGUGCAAGCGUUAAUCGGAAUUACUGGGCGUAAAGCGCGCGUAGGUGGUUCAGCAAGUUGGAUGUGAAAUCCCCGGGCUCAACCUGGGAACUGCAUCCAAAACUACUGAGCUAGAGUACGGUAGAGGGUGGUGGAAUUUCCUGUGUAGCGGUGAAAUGCGUAGAUAUAGGAAGGAACACCAGUGGCGAAGGCGACCACCUGGACUGAUACUGACACUGAGGUGCGAAAGCGUGGGGAGCAAACAGGA
rnacentral:rRNA from 1 species